rnacentral:rRNA from 1 species
AUUGAACGCUGGCGGCAGGCUUAACACAUGCAAGUCGAGCGGAUGACGGGAGCUUGCUCCUUGAUUCAGCGGCGGACGGGUGAGUAAUGCCUAGGAAUCUGCCUGGUAGUGGGGGACAACGUUCCGAAAGGGGCGCUAAUACCGCAUACGUCCUACGGGAGAAAGGGGGGGAUCUUCGGACCUCACGCUAUCAGAUGAGCCUAGGUCGGAUUAGCUAGUUGGUGAGGUAAAGGCUCACCAAGGCGACGAUCCGUAACGGGUCUGAGAGGAUGAUCAGUCACACUGGAACUGAGACACGGUCCAGACUCCUACGGGAGGCAGCAGUGGGGAAUAUUGGACAAUGGGCGAAAGCCUGAUCCAGCCAUGCCGCGUGUGUGAAGAAGGUCUUCGGAUUGUAAAGCACUUUAAGUUGGGAGGAAGGGCAGUAAGUUAAUACCUUGCUGUUUUGACGUUACCGACAGAAUAAGCACCGGCUAACUCUGUGCCAGCCGCCGCAGUAAAAC